ensembl:snoRNA Snora21 small nucleolar RNA SNORA21
CCCCUUUUAAAAGCACUCAGUGAGCCUUCUGCUAGUGACCCACUGAGCCGUCAAGAAGGGGCAGAGUGAAAAACACCACUUUUGGGUGAAGUGGCAACGUGUUUUGUGUUGUUCAACUUCAAUCGGUGUUGUGACAAGA